rnacentral:rRNA from 1 species
GACGAACCGUGCGAACGUUAUUCGGAAUCACUGGGCUUAAAGCGCGUGUAGGCGGCCCGGCACGUCCGUCGCUGAAAUCCCCCGGCUCAACCGGGGAAGGGGCGCGGAUACGACCGGGCUGGAGGGGGGUAGGGGGAGCCGGAACUUCCGGUGGAGCGGUGAAAUGCGUUGAGAUCGGAAGGAACGCCCGUGGCGAAAGCGGGCUCCUGGACCCCACCUGACGCUGAGGCGCGAAAGCGUGGGGAGCAAACAGG